UACGAAAGGGGCUAGCGUUGCUCGGAAUCACUGGGCGUAAAGCGCACGUAGGCGGCCUCUUAAGUCGGUGGUGAAAUCCUGGAGCUCAACUCCAGAACUGCCUUCGAUACUGAGAGUCUCGAGUCCGGGAGAGGUGAGUGGAACUGCGAGUGUAGAGGUGAAAUUCGUAGAUAUUCGCAAGAACACCAGUGGCGAAGGCGGCUCACUGGCCCGGUACUGACGCUGAGGUGCGAAAGCGUGGGGAGCAAACAGG
rnacentral:rRNA from 1 species